rnacentral:rRNA from 1 species
CAGUAGCCGCGGGAACACGAAGGGGGCUAGCGUUGCUCGGAAUGACUGGGCGUAAAGGGCGCGUAGGCGGUUUGUCGAGUUAGAGGUGAAAUUCCCGGGCUUAACCUGGGGACUGCAUUUGAUACUGGCAGGCUUGAGUGUGGAAGAGGGUCGUGGAAUUCCCAGUGUAGAGGUGAAAUUCGUAGAUAUUGGGAAGAACACCGGUGGCGAAGGCGGCGACCUGGUCCAUAACUGACGCUGAGGCGCGAAAGCGUGGGGAGCAAACAGGAUUAGAUACCCCCGUAGUCCCUGUCUCUUAUAC